rnacentral:rRNA from 1 species
UCCAGACUCCUACGGGAGGCAGCAGUGGGGAAUAUUGCACAAUGGGGGAAACCCUGAUGCAGCAACGCCGCGUGAAGGAAGACGGUUUUCGGAUUGUAAACUUCUGUUCUUAGUGAAGAAGAAUGACGGUAGCUAAGGAGCAAGCCACGGCUAACUACGUGCCAGCAGCCGCGGUAAUACGUAGGGAGCGAGCGUUGUCCGGAUUUACUGGGUGUAAAGGGUGCGUAGGCGGCUAUGCAAGUCAGUAGUGAAAUCCAUGGGCUUAACCCAUGAACUGCUAUUGAAACUGCACAGCUUGAGUGAAGUAGAGGUAGGCGGAAUUCCCGGUGUAGCGGUGAAAUGCGUAGAGAUCGGGAGGAACACCAGUGGCGAAGGCGGCCUACUGGGCUUUAACUGACGCUGAGGCACGAAAGCGUGGGUAGCAAACAGGAUUAGAUACCCUAGUA